rnacentral:rRNA from 1 species
AUCGAACGCUGGCGGCAUGCCUAACACAUGCAAGUCGAGCGAGUGGCGGACGGGUGAGUAAUGUAUGGGGACUGCCCGAUAGAGGGGGAUACCUUCUGGAAACGGUGGUUUAUACCGCAUUUUGUCGGCUCACCCAUAUGGGAUUAGCUAGUUGGUAAGGUAAUGGCUUACCUAGGCGACGAUCCCUAGAUGGGCUGAGAGGAUGAUCAGCCACACUGGGACUGAGACACGGCCCAGACUCCUACGGAGGCAGCAGUGGGGAAUAGUGCACAAUGGGCGCAAGCCUGAUGCAGCCAUGCCGCGUGUAUGAAGAAGGCCCUAGGGUUGGAAAGUACUUUCAGUCGGGAGGCGUUACCGACAGAAGAAGCACCGGCUAACUCCGUGCCAGCAGCCGCGGUAAUUC